ACCAGAGCACCUCCAACUCCAGUUUAGACUUUUCUUGCAGAUCCCGACGGCGGCCGUGAUCCCCUCGACUCCAGCUUUUUCGGUAUCGGCAGAAUUCUGCACCAAUAGAAUUGGCGCUAGAGGAAGGGCUGUGUCUUCGUAGGACCCUUGUUCUUAAAGUACUCAACGGGACUAUCUCCGAUCAUCUUCUUCGACAUCUUCUUCUUCUUCUCCAGCC
rnacentral:lncRNA from 1 species